ensembl:snoRNA
GGAUGCCCUAUUUAAACAUCAGCCACUUCCACAUAGCAGCUAUGAUCAAAAAAGAGACAAGAGUGAUAUUUUCCUUGAUGUUCAGCAUCCUCUGCUGUAACUGAUCUGUCCAUAUCAGAAAAGACAGUU